AGGAGAUCCAUAGCUCAUACUUAAGAUUCUGUACUUCACAGAGGAAAUGUUCAGUUCAGCGAAUUCUCCACUACAGUCGAGCUUGAAGUCGGGGUGGCCGCAGCUUUCUCUCUCUGAUCUCCAGAAAGGGUAAUAGAGUUCUUUCUGAUCGCCACACCUAAAGGGGCCACUGCAGCGUUGGUGAAGUACAUCUACUGUGAAAACACAAGAUGGGAUCACAACAAUAUCCAUAUGAUUCUAGACAACAUAGAUUUUGUUGGGGAACAAAAGAGAUUGAUCAUUGUUUUGGAGCCCUCGAGGUCAAAUACGAAAAUGGUGUAGAAAGAAGCUAUGAAGGCAUUGGUGAAUAUUGGUAAACGAUGAAAAGGAUAACGGAAUAGUGAUUCAAAAGAGUUUUUUCUUUUCUUUUCUUUUUUUUUUGUUUAUAGAAUAUAAAACGAGUUCCCACUAAGCACAACGCAGAGUUGGGUUCUACUUUGACGACUUCAAAAUCAGGGGCUUGGAAUUUUCUCAGAUGGACCACCAGCGCGCAGUCCCUUUCGGUCAUUGUCGUUUUUCUGCUAGAAAGAAUCUAAAGAAAUUUCGGAGAAAUGGAGUGUGGAAUAAGGCAAAGAAACCAUUUACUACUGGAACUGACUGGUGACAGAAGGAAGGUUCA